CCUACGGGGGGCAGCAGUGAGGAAUAUUGGUCAAUGGACGUGAGUCUGAACCAGCCAAGUAGCGUGAAGGAUGACUGCCCUAUGGGUUGUAAACCUCUUUUAUAAAGGAAUAAAGCGAGGCACGUGUGCCGUUUUGCAUGUACUUUAUGAAUAAGGAUCGGCUAACUCCGUGCCAGCAGCCGCGGUAAUACGGAGGAUCCGAGCGUUAUCCGGAUUUAUUGGGUUUAAAGGGAGCGUAGACGGGUUGUUAAGUCAGUUGUGAAAGUUUGCGGCUCAACCGUAAAAUUGCAAUUGAUACUGGCAGUCUUGAGUACAGUUGAGGUAGGCGGAAUGCGUGGUGUAGCGGUGAAAUGCUUAGAUAUCACGAAGAACCCCGAUUGCGAAGGCAGCUUACUAAGCUGUGACUGACAUUGAUGCACGAAAGUGUGGGUAUCAAACAGGAUUAGAUACCCUAGUAGUC
rnacentral:rRNA from 1 species